ACACUCUCAGUACAACGACAACUAACUAGUUAAUUUACAAUUUACGUACAAUGCGAUAGCUGGCAUCCACAUUCGCCCCAAAAUGUGCGGUUAAAAUCCCCCCGCGAACCGCAGAGCGGCGGCGAAACAGUCGGACAAAAGCGACCGAGAGAAACGAAGCGAGAAGAAGAAGGGCAGAUUAAACAAGUUUGCGUGGAACGGAACGAAAAAUUGCGUGAAAAGAAGAAAGCCACAACGAGCAGAUGCAAUAAUGCCUAAUGUUUAAACAAAUUCGCCAAGGAGAGUUUCGAGUCCAUUUUUUGUUUAAGUCCGUCAUACGUGCGUGCGUGUGAGUAAGUGUGUACAUGUAGUGUGUGUGUGUGUGAGUAGUGGAAAGAGUGGAAAUAAUGAGAGUGUCUCAGUCCGAGUGCAAAUGAAGUUGGCCAAGCCCAAAACGAGAAUUAAUUAAAGCGACUAAGAAAAGUGCCCAUCGCGGAGGAUUAACUACGCCCAGGGGUCAGCCAAAAAGAGAGAAAGAAACAGAAAAAGAAACUAACCCAACCGAUCGGGGGCAGGACGAGGAAGGAUCCAAUCCAAAAUGAGCGAGGAACUGAAAGUGGUGCUGCGCCGCAGCGAGCAGCAUUCCGGUUUCGGGUUUUCGCUGCUCGGAACCACCGGACCGCCACAUGUCAUCUACGACAUCGUCGAGAAUUCGCCGGCAGCCGAUUGCGGAGCGGUUGAGGCCGGGGAUGUCAUCCUCAAAGUCAACGGAACGGAUGUCCAUCGCUACACAACGAAGGAAGUUCUCAAAUGCCUGCGCCUGUCGGAACAGCUGGUGACCUUGGAGCUGAAGCGAGAUCCCAAGCUCAAGGCGCGGAUCAAAGAGCAGCUGGCCAACACGCAGAGUCCGCACUAUGUGGACAUUGAGUCGCCGAACAUCUACGACUACCACAGCAACAGUACCAACUCCUCGCCGAAUCACCGGGCCAACGCCGGCGGAAAGGGGACGGCGACGACCACGCCCUCUCAGAGCGGAUUGCGCUACAAGUCGCCCACGCACUUGCCCUCGCUGCGCCAGAAUUCGUCGCCCCUGCUGGCGAGUGGAUCCACCACGACCACGACCACCGCCACGCAUACGCACACCCACAGUCGCAACUCCUCGACCAGCUCUACUAAGAUCAAGUUGGUGGAGACGAGCAUCACCACCUCGACCACGGGCAUAGUGGGUCUUGCUUCACCCACCGGCAGUGCUGGUGGUGGGGAAGCCACCUCGCCCACCUUUCGUCCCUCACGCAUUCCACAAGCGCUGACCAAAUGUGCCGUACCCAAGCCCGUGCCCGUUCUCCAUUCGCCCCAGAAUAAGCGGCCACGCCCCUCGCAGAUUCCAACGAAGGCGGCGAACGGCAACGGGAACGGCCAUACCGCCCAGCUGCCACCCCAAUCGCUGCAGCACUCGAACAGCUACAGCGGCAGUCCGGUGACCAGGCAGCGGUUCACGGACAGGGAGCAGGAACGGGAGCCGGAACCGAACUCGGCGCCACCGCAGCCGGCGAAGGCGCCACGCUUUGAGGCUUAUAUGAUGACCGGUGACCUGAUCCUCAAUCUGUCCCGGACACCGCAAACCAGCAAUCCUCUGCCCGCCCAGGCCAAGAAGGUGGACAGUCUGCGGGAUUCGCCCAGUCGCCUGGUUAACGCGCGUAUCAAUGGUGCAUUAGCACCACGUGCCUCUGGUGAAUCCUCGCCCACUUCCUCCUCCUCGGUGGACUCGCCAACCAACACCAGCUCGGAUUCGGUGAAGCGCGAGGCGAAGUUGCUGAGGAAACAACAACAACAACAACAACAACAGCAGCAGCAGCAACAACAACCUCACCAACAGCAACAGCAGCGGGACAGCAUCAACAACAGCUACAACCGCAAGGAUUCGCUGACCAACGACACGCUGCUAAUGUGCGAGGAGCUGGAGCCUGACGAGGAGGGUGAAUACGUCCUGGAGGAGGACAACAAGCAGCAGCGACAACGCCAACAGCAGAAUCGAUACCGCCAGCAGCAAAACCAGCAACGCUACGAAUACUACCAAAAUGAUGAUGAGCUGGAGGAGCACGAGGAGGUGGAGGAGCGUGAGGAGGAUCAAACGCACUACGACAUCACCAACAUCGACACCUACCAGAGCGGACUGGGCCGUGGUGACGAGGAUGACAGCGAUCGGCAGUGUCUGGUGGACGACGACGACGAUGACGAUGCCUACGACGAGGAGGAUAACGAUGCCGGCGACGAGGAUUACUCGACCAACUCGCUGGGCUCUGGUUCGGCCAAGCAGAGAUUGCGGGCGCUAAAGCAACGGACCGCCACCCGCCAGCAGCAACGAAAUCGGGAUGCCGUCGACUGCGCCGGACGCUCCGGAUCGGGAUCUUCGUCCACCACGGUCAAGAGCGAGGCGGGCGGCCUGGGCCUGGACGAAACUUCCUUCUCAGUGCCAACCUCUCCGAUCUCUCUGUCGACGCCGCUGAUCGACAAGGAGACGGCCAACUCGGUGCCUACCAGCCCGGAGCCCAGUUCGCUAGUCCCGGAGUCGAGCAGUGGCGCUGGCGCCGGAGCAGUCGUGGUGCGCCGGCACAACGGGCAUGUGGUGCGGAAGUGCGAUGCCGCCGGUUUCCGCACCAGCAAGUCCGAGGACCAUCUGCAGCAGAUCCAGCGCGAGGGCAUCGCCGCCGUGAUACCCAUCGACAUCGAUGAGGAUGUGAAUAGCUCGCUGAACACGCUGCUUGACACGCGUCAGGACUCCGAGGACUCGCAGUCGAUGGCCACUGUAAUUGCAAACAACUCGCCACUGGCCUCGAACAACAACGAGGGCGAGCAGAACGACAACCGCAGCAGCAGCAGCAGCUCCAGCGACAACAAUAAUUGCAGCAGCAGCAACACCAGCGAACCAGCAACAUCAACUGCAACAAUAACGACUGCAACUGCAACAUCAACGAGAACGAUGAAUUGCAGCAGCAAAUUAAACUAUAUUUUAUGCAAAAAGGCUUCGGAUCGCGAUCGGAUCGUGUGGACCUAUAAUGCCCCACUGCAGCCGCACCAAUUGGCGGCCCUCCAGCGACAGCAGCAACAGCAAGAGCAGCAAUUCCAACAGCAACAGCAGCAACUCCAGCAGCAACAUCAGCAGCAACUCCAGCAGCAACAACAGCAGCAGCAACAGCAGCAACUCUACGGUCAGCAAUCGCAUUCAAAUUCACAUUCAAGUUCCAUUAGUUCGUCGCCCCAGCACUCGGCUGUGGGCAGUCCGGCCUCGCCCACGUCGGUUUCCUCGUCGGUGAUGUCCUCGUCGGGCUCCAAGGGCGCCCUGGGCCUGGGCAGCAGCAGCAACGGUCCCAUGGCCGCCGUGCAGCAACAACAGCAGCAGCGGGAGCAGGGCGGCCAGGUCGCGCAUCCGCCCAGCGGGAUUCCCGGCCUGCUGAGCUGCCCAGGCGCCGUGCCCGGAAACAAUGGUGGUGGUGGAGGCAUUUGUGGUGGCGGUGGUGGUGGCAACAACGAUCAGAGCGUCUCAGAGGCCAUUUCGAAUAUAUCUAGUCCCGACUACCAAGACGACGAUAACUUAUUAAGCUCUCGCGAUAUUCUAGGCGGCAUGGUACUUAGCGAUCCCAGUGACUCGGACUCAACCAUCCUCGUCUCGGACGCGGCCGCCCAGCAGCGCCAGCAGCUCAAGCAGCAGUUGCGCGCCCAGCAGCAACAGCAGAGGGAGAGGGACAGGGAGCGGGAGAGGGAUCGGGAUCGGGACCGGGAACAGUCCGAGCAUAAGGUGGUCAUCCAAGUGCGGGGACUGGACAGCAACAGCAGCGGCGGCGGCAACGGCCGCUCCGAAGAGGAUGUGGUCACGCUGACGGAAGAGCCGCUGGGCACGAUGGCCAUUGGUAUGCGGGACGCCUCGCCGCCCGUCUCCGACGAUGGCAGCGAUGUGGAGUCACUCCACUCGUACCACUACUCGCCCAAGGCCGUGGACAUGCCCUCGGCCAUUCGCCUGGCCAAAAGACUGUACUCACUCGACGGUUUCAAGAAGAGUGAUGUGUCGCGACACCUCAGCAAAAACAAUGACUUUAGUCGAGCGGUGGCCGAUGAGUAUCUUAAGCAUUUCACCUUCGAGAAGAAGUCACUGGACCAAGCGCUGCGUGAGUUUCUGCAGCAGUUUUCACUGUCCGGCGAAACGCAGGAACGGGAGCGGGUGCUGGUGCACUUUUCCAAGCGCUUCCUCGACUGCAAUCCUGGCACCUUCAACUCGCAGGACGCCGUGCACACGCUGACCUGUGCCAUAAUGCUGCUGAAUACGGACCUGCACGGCCAGAACAUGAAUCGCAAGAUGAGCUGUGCGGAAUUCGUCGACAACCUGGCGGAUCUCAACGAUGGCGAGAACUUUCCCAAGGAUGUGCUCAAGUCGCUUUACCAGGCCAUUAAAACCAAGCCGCUGGAGUGGGCACUAGAUGAAGAGGCGGGCGAUCUGCAGCAGCAAAGAGCCAACAAUUGUGCCCUUGGGAAUGUUGGACAGAAUCCCUUCCUCGAUCCCCCCGAACUGGCCACAGCUGUGGAGUACAAAAAAGGCUAUGUGAUGCGUAAAUGCUGCUACGACAGCAGCUUUAAGAAAACUCCCUUUGGCAAGCGCUCCUGGAAGAUGUUUUACUGCACGCUGCGUGAUCUUGUGCUGUAUUUGCAUAAAGAUGAACACGGUUUUCGCAAAAGUCAAAUGUCCGACAAUCUGCACAAUGCAAUACGCAUACAUCACGCACUGGCCACCAAGGCCAACGACUACACCAAGAAGCAACAUGUGUUCCGUCUGCAGACGGCCGACCAGGCCGAGUAUCUGUUCCAGACCAGCGACUCCAAGGAGCUGCAGUCGUGGGUUGAGACGAUCAAUUAUGUGUGCGCCGCUAUAUCAGCGCCACCGCUCGAGGGCGGCGUGGGCAGUCAAAAGCGGUUCCAGCGUCCGCUCCUGCCCAGCAAACAGUCCAAGCUGCUGCUGAAGGAGCAAUUGGAUUCGCACGAGGUGCAGUUGGCCCAGUUGGAUCAAGAGCUGAAUGAGCACAAGAAGGGUCCGAUUCCCAGCAAGGGCUUGGCUCUGCAGAACUACAAGGAGAAGGAGAGCUACCUGCAGUACGAACUGAGACGCUACCGCACCUAUGUGAGCAUCCUGAGCGCCAAGAUGCUGGCUGACCAGCAGCAGCUGGAGUUGCAAGCACUGCAGCCGACUCCGGCGGCACACGAGGAAGAGGCCGACACAUUCCCAGUGGGCACCACCGCCUGCCCGCCACCCACGCCGCAAAGUAUUAACCAGAAGGAUCUGCAGAAGGAGCAGCAGCAGCAACAGCCAACGAACAGGUACAGUCAGCAGCAGCGCCCCAGCGGCAGCAGCUCCUCGUCAGCCGGCCAUGUGCAGCAGGACAUUGGCUGACGCGUAAUGGGAGUUUUCUCAGCUUGUGUGGUUUAAGCGAUCGCUCCGAUCCACUCGUUAUAUUCCGUUUAUAUCCUUAGCUAUAUGUUUCUUCUGUUCCUUUGCCGCUUUCGUUGUUAUUUUGUGUUGAGCUUUCCCCGAGAUUUCCCUCCUUCAUUACUGUUGUGUUGUUCGUCCCGCAGAGCGCCCAGGAUCUCAGUGUCGACCAAUGUGGGUUGGCGCAAGCUACUCUGGGACUCCGUUUGCUGCGGUGUUUUGUUGUGUUGCUGGCAUUACUGUGCUGUUAUCACUGUUUUAACCUAAUCCGUUCUCUAUGUAAAUAUAUUUCGUGUUCGUUCCUUUCGUUUUGCAUUUCGCAUCGCCAUCAUAAUGCCCCCGCAUCCCCACAAGUACAAGCUUUAAUUUUGAAUAGUUUUAACUACGAUACGUAUAACAAUAACUGAAUCCAGACUUAAGUGUUGCGCGUUGGCAAUUAAAACCACGAGGAGACAGAGAGACCCCUAAUGUAAUUAGUUCUUAUGUGAAUAAUGGUUUUAUUUUGGAUGCAACCACAACCACACAACAUGCUGUGAAAACUCAAUGAACAAUUCAUAAUCGAUAAUUAGGAAUUUAGAGACCCAAACGAGCGACCGUUUGGAAAGGAUUUAAAGUCAAGAUUCGAAUAGUUAACUAUAGAAAACCGUUUUUUGUAGCACUAGUAGUAAUCCAAAGUUUUGGCGUUAUAUGUAUACAAACAACAAAAAUUAUAUUUAGAAACGAAAUUGAACGAAGAAUUGUAGAAAACACAAAUGUGGUUCAUUAGUAGCAAACGUUUACGUUUAAACCUAAGCUAGAGGCAUUCUAAAUAUACAUGCAAACAACAUAAUCACAAACGAAAAAUAGCAUUAAACACGUUUUACAAACCCGCACACAUUCAGCAGAUAGAGAUACAAUUUUAAGUAGACAGAAUCAAUUAAGCCAUUCCACACCCACACACGACACGAUACUGCACUAAUUGCUGGUGGUUACACCGAUGUACCAUAUAAGACUCAUGCUAACCCGACGACAUUUGGUGACCCCGACCCCUAGGUGAACCCAAUGCAGUUGCCCGUUACUCGUUGCCCGUUUGCCAUUACGUUAUCCCGUUCAAAUGCGUUGCUACGUUCCACUUAAAUGCAAUGUCACAAGUGAAAAGCAAAACCCAAAUGGAAGAAUUCUUCAAUCUUACAGAUGGUUCGAUGUCUUCUGCUGCUGUAGCCCACUCUGGCGGCACUUGAUCCAUUCGAAAAGCCAUUAACCAACUUAGUCUCUUGCCAAGAUUUAGCAUCAGCCACAGCACAGUCCACGAAGCACCGCGCCAGAGGCUAGUGAUCCGCUCCAAGAGGUGCUCCUUGUAAAUGCCCCGACCCGUACUGACCGCCUGUCUUAAAUGUGAGCAGGCCGAGGCCAAAUCUCAAUGUUAAUUGUUAACUCUUCAGUGUCUAGCUUGGCUUAGUGCGAACCUAUACGAAUAUCCACCAUCUGACACCCCGUUUUUCGUUUCCAAAUCCACGAUUGCUAACCUCGCUUAUCGUUCUACACUUGCAGAAAAGAGAAGAAAAAGAAAUAAUUAAGUUUUAUUUCGCUCUUGAUUUCGAUCAUUUCAAAACUCGCAUACCAACACACACACCUUCACCACAAUCCCCGCCUUCUGGCCAUCGAGCAGCAGGCGAUUGAAUGAAUGAAUUUGAAUAGAAUACUCCGAAAUGCCAGGCUGCCUCCGCCGGGAAUACAGACAGAUCAGAUUCACAGAUCCACAGAACCACUCACCCACUCGCAUACUCUGCACCACUCACGCCACACCCACCCACUUACACUCAAGCGUUGCGGCUGUGCCGUGCAUGCCACAGAAGAAAUUCGGAAUUUGUGCACUUUCAAUUACUUGAAACCCCAACAUGGGAGAUCAUUUGAGACAAUUAGACUACCAACACGAUAAUUAACGAGGGAAAGUUUUACGUUUGAAGGUCGUUCAUCAGAAGGUAUCGGCACUAUCUCGAAUUCGAGCAUUUGGUAUCUUAAGUAUGAAGCUACUUAUCCGUAAGCGGGUACUCGAAAUCGGUUUCACCUGAGUUGAAGCUACACAAUCUAUUCGGUUCUAAUUUGAAUUAUCAUUCAUGUUUGCUUCGCCAAAGAUUCUGCUGGACGGCUGCUUAGGAGCGAGAAUGAAUACUGCUUAUAAACAUAGACUUAUUAUUACAAGAGUUGAUAAACAAUACUUACAUCAUUACCUAUGCUAUCAUUAUAAAUGAUAAAAAUAAAUUAUAAAUUAUUGAACAAUAUCUCUACGCAACUAGAAGAUGGAGAACAUCGGCAGUAACAAUAACACAAUGAGAACGAGGACAAGAGCAUUAGCAUUAAACCUAAGCAAUUACUACCAUACCACGUACGACUUGUUUUUGGUCUUUUGCGAUACAUUAUCACAUUAUCUGUGUAGGUACACUUACUCUAAUAUUAUGUACGGAUUAAUAUAUUUAUUUAAACACUUAUCGGUUGAUUACGCGACAUGUCCAUGUAGCUAGAAUAUGAAAUUGAUAUCGAUUACGGGGUAAAGAGAGACAAGGAGGAAUCAAUAAAUUUAAAUACAUCAUAUAUUUUUGAAUAUAUUAUCAUUAUUGUAUUGUGUAAUUAUGUAAAUGCAGAUUAUAUAACAUUGUUUAUAAUAAUUUUUAACAAUUCAACUGAAACGGCAAUAAAUUCGAGCAAACAAACUAACUAAAAAGUGAAAGCAACUUGCCUGCAAACCAAGCGCCUAAAUGUAUGCAUAUUGUAUAUUUAUUUAGUCAAACAUUUUAACUGGCUUACGAGGGCAUCACUUAGUUUUAAAAGCAUAUACACAUAUACAUAUAUGAACAAUAUAUAGUAUAUAUAUGAAUGCUCAUGUGAGCAACCAAACAAUUACGAUAUGAAUCAUUAAAUACUUCCGAAAGCAUUAAA